GAAUCUUUCAUUCCAAUGUACAGAAACAUUUCUUGUAAAUACAGCUACAGGUGUAUAACGUUAUCUUCUUCAUUGUCGGGGUGGUGGUCCUCCAGUAGGGGCUUCCAUGGCGGUUUUAGUUGUGCUUCCUCCUCCUUUGGCAACAUUACGCUGAAAUACAGCGUGCGGAGCUGCGUGAUGCGAUCUAGGAGCAGUGAUUCGCCAAACCUCCCUUAUGCACCCGCUUCAAAUGUUCUCCUACUAUUGAAUGGAUGUUAUUCACUGGUUAAUGGGACCAUCGAUAUGGUCCAGUGGGGGGGAUGUUGUGGUUACUGGCUGUUAUCAUUUAUCAAAUGGUUAUUCAAUGAUACAACUACAAGAGAAGACUCCAGAUCCACUCAGAGGAAUCCAGUUCACCGAUGACUGGACGUCGACUGGAUAACGCGGCAGCGUUGGGGUAUUUCCUGGUUAAUCGUUUCAGCAUCAGUUUCCAACGGGGUUGACCAAAAGUACAAGAUCAUCUUUGGUGUUUGAAGAUGGCCCAGAGAGGUACAGUAAGUCUUACAAUUCCUAAUCUAGAGGCAUUAGGCGAGUGUGUCUGAGAAUGAUGGAGGUAAGGGAAAUCUGAGGUGAUUAUUAAUAAAAAUUAAGUUAGUGAGGUAACAUAAAUCUGAGGCGAUUAUUAAUAUAAACUAAAUUAGUGAGGUAACGUAAUUCUGAGGUGAUUAAUAAUAUUAACUAAGUUAGUGAGGUAAGGUAAAGCUGAGGCGAUUAUUAAUUUAAAAGAAGUUAGUGAGAUAAUGUAAAUCUGAGGCGAUUAUUGAUAUAAACUAAGUUAAUGAGGUAAUGUAAGUCUGAGGCGAUUAUUAAUAUAAACUAAGUUAGUGAGUCAAGGUAAAACUGAGGAGAUUAUUGAUAUAAACUAAUUUAGUGAGGUAUUGAUAUAAACUAAGUUAGUGAGGUAACGUAAAUCUGAGGCGAUUAUUAAUAUAAAUUAAGUUAGUGAGGUAACGUAAAUCUGAGGCGAUUAUUAAUAUAAACUAAAUUAGUGAGGUAACUUAAUUCUUAGGUGGUUAAUAAUAUAAACUAAGUUAGUAAGGUAACGUAAAUCUGAGCAAUUAUUAAUGGAAACUAAGUUAGUGAGGUAAUGUAAGUCUGAGGCGAUUAUUAAUAUCAACUAAUGUAGUGAGGUAUUGAUAUAAACUAAGUUAGUGAGGUAACGUAAAUCUGAGGCGAUUAUUAAUAUAAACUAAAUUAGUGAGGUAACAUAAAUCUGAGGCGUUAAUUAAUAUAACCAAAGUUAGAGAGAACGUAAAUCUGAGGCGAUUAUUAAUAUAAACUAGGUUAGUGAGAUAACAUAAAUCUGAGGCGAUUAUUGAUAUAAACUAAAUUACUGAGGUAACGUAAUUCUGAGGUGAUUAAUAAUAUAACCUAAGUUAGUGAGAUAAGGUAAAUCUGAGGCGAUUAUUAAUAGAAACUAUGUCAGUGAGGUAACGUAAAUCUGAGGGGAUUAUUAAUAUAAACUAAGUUAGUGAGGCAAGGUAAAACUGAGGCGAUUAAUAAUAUAAACUAAGUUAGUAAGGUAACGUAAAUCUGAGGUGAUUAUUAAUAUAACAAGUUAGUGAGGUAAUGUAAAUAUAAGGCGAUUAUUAAUAUAAACUAAGUUAGUGAGGUAACGUAAAUCUGAGGUCAUAAUUAAUAUAACCUAAGUAGGUGAGAUAAGGUAAAUCUGAGGCGAUUAUUAAUAUAAACUAAGUCAGUGAGGUAAGGUAAAUCUGAGGCGAUUAUUAAUUUAAAAGAAGUUAGUGAGAACAUAAAUCUGAGGAGAUUAUCAGUAUAAACUAAGUUAGUUAAGUAAUGUAAAUCUGAGGUGAUUAUUGAUAUAAACUAAGUUAGUGAGGUAAGGUAAAUCUGAGGCAAUUAUUAAUAUAAAUUAAGUUAGUAAGGUAACGUAAAUCUGAGGCGAUUAUUAAUAUUAACUAAAUUAGUGCGGUAACGUAAAUCUGAUGUGAUUAUUAAUAUAACCUAAGUUACUAAGGUAAUGUAAAUCUGAGGUGUUAUUAUUAUAAACUAAGUUAGUGAGGUAAUGUAAUUCUGAGGCAAUUAUUAAUAUAAACUAAGUUAGUGAGAUAACAUACAUCUGAGGCGAUUAUCACUAUAAAUUAAGUUAGUGAGGUAACGCAAUUAUGAGGCAAUUAUUAAUAUAAACUAAGUUAGUGCGGUAACGUAAAUCUGAUGUGAUUAUUAAUAUAACCUAAGUUACUAAGGUAACGUAAAUCUGAGGUGUUAUUAUUAUAAACUAAGUUAGUGAGGUAAUGUAAUUCUGAGGCAAUUAUUAAUAUAAAAUAAC